AAUCUUGCGCAAUGGGCGAAAGCCUGACGCAGCCAUGCCGCGUGAAUGAUGAAGGCCUUAGGAUUGUAAAAUUCUUUCACCGGGGACGAUAUUGACGGUACCCGGAGAAGAAGCCCCGGCUACCUCUGUGCCAGCAGCCGCGGUAAUUCGAAGGGGGCGAGCGUUGCUCGGAAUUACCGGGCGUAAAGGGCGCGUAGGCGGAUCGUUAAGUCAGAGGUAAAAUCCCAGGGCUCAACCCUGGAACUGCCUUUGAUACUGGCGAUCUUGAGUAUGAGAGAGGUAUGUGGAACUCCGAGUGUAGAGGUGAAAUUCGUAGAUAUUCGGAAGAACACCAGUGGCGAAGGCGACAUACUGGCUCAUUACUGACGCUGAGGCGCGAAAGCGUGGGGAGCAAACA
rnacentral:rRNA from 1 species